rnacentral:rRNA from 1 species
UACGUAGGAGGCAAGCGUUAUCCGGAAUGAUUGGGCGUAAAGCGUCCGCAGGUGGCAAUGUAAGUCUGCUGUCAAAGCGUCUGGCUCAACCAGAUAAAGGCAGUGGAAACUACAUAGCUAGAGUAAGGUAGGGGUAGAGGGAAUUCCUGGUGUAGCGGUGAAAUGCGUAGAGAUCAGGAAGAACACCGGUGGCGAAAGCGCUCUGCUGGACCUAAACUGACACUGAGGGACGAAAGCUAGGGGAGCGAAUGGG